UACGUAGGGGGCGAGCGUUGUCCGGAGUUACUGGGCGUAAAGGGCAUGUAGGCGGUCGGACGCGUUUUGUGUGACAGCGGGUGGCUCAACUACCCGAGCAUGCGAAAGACGGUCGGACUUGAGGACUCGAGAGGGACACGGAAUUCCGGGUGGAGUGGUGAAAUGCGUAGAGAUCCGGAGGAACACCGAAGGCGAAGGCAGUGUCCUGGCGAGUGACUGACGCUGAGGUGCGAAAGCCAGGGGAGCGAACGGG
rnacentral:rRNA from 1 species